GGGCCCGUAGCUCAGUCGGUUAGAGCGCACGGCUGAUAACCGUGAGGUCGGUGGUUCGAAUCCACUCGGGCCCACCA
rnacentral:tRNA from 1 species